rnacentral:rRNA from 1 species
UGCGUAGGCGGCCUUCCAGGUCCGGUGUGAAAUCUCACGGCUCAACCGUGAAAUGGCGCUGGAAACCGGAAGGCUUGAGUGUGCUAGGGGUGUGUGGAACUUCCAGUGGAGCGGUGAAAUGUGUUGAUAUUGGAAGGAACGCCGGUGGCGAAAGCGACACACUGGGGCACAACUGACGCUGAGGCACGAAAGCUGGUAGCAACG